rnacentral:rRNA from 1 species
AUUGAACGCUGGCGGCAGGCCUAACACAUGCAAGUCGAGCGGAUGAAGGGAGAUUGCUCCUGGAUUCAGCGGCGGACGGGGGAGUAAUGCCUAGGAAUCUGCCUGGUAGUGGGGGAUAACGUCUGGAAACGGGCGCUAAUACCGCAUACGUCCUGAGGGAGAAAGUGGGGGAUCUUCGGACCUCACGCUAUCAGAUGAGAUUAGGUCGGAUUAGCUAGUUGGUGGGGUAAAGGCCUACCAAGGCGACGAUCCGUAACUGGUCUGAGAGGAUGAUCAGUCACACUGGAGCUGAGACAGUGUCCAGACUCCUACGGGACGCAUCAGUGUCGCAUCUUGCACAAUGGUCAAAAGCCUUGUCCAACCAUGCCACGUGUGUGAAGAAGGUCUUCUGAUUGUAAAGCACUUUAAGUUGGGAGAAACCGCAUUAAGUUAAUACCUUGCUGUUUUAACGUUACCAACAAAAUAAGCACCGGCUAACUUCGUG